rnacentral:rRNA from 1 species
UACGUAGGGGGCGAGCGUUGGUCCGGAUUUAUUGGGCGUAAAGAGCUCGUAGGCGGUUGGGUAAGUCGGGUGUGAAAACUCCAGGGCUCAACUCUGAGACGCCACUCGAUACUGCCCUGACUCGAGUCCGGGUAGGGGAGCGUGGAAUUCCCGGUGUAGCGGUGAAAUGCGCAGAUAUCGGGAGGAACACCAGUGGCGAAGGCGGCGCCUGCUGGGCCGGGAACUGACGCUGAGGAGCGAAAGCGUGGGGAGCGAACAGG